rnacentral:tRNA from 1 species
GUUGAUGUAGCUUAACACUAAAGCGAAGCACUGAAAAUGCUCAGAUGGAUUCUUUUAUCCCAUAAACA